UAAGAAGUCAAGUGGGCAAGUGGGUAGAAAAGCACUCAAGUGUUUUGUGAUAUUUUGAAGAGUUGUGUGAGCCAUUCUAACCCCCAAAUCCGACCACUCUCCCUCUCUCAUUCACUCUCAUCUGAUUUUUGAAGACUCUCUCAAGUGUUCUCUCCAUUUUCAACCCCAAGAACACCAAAGAAACUUGGAAGCUAAGUCUUGGUCUAGGAAGGGUUUUCCCUAAGUUGGUUAGGGUUUUUGAAAGGUUUUGGAGGAGCCAAAGCUAAUAGGAAGGUCAAAACCUUAAACAAUAACACCAAAGAGGUAAGAACAAGGGCAAGGCAGAGCAGUGAGCGCUGGAGUCUUCCUUGCAAAUGUACAUGUGGACCGACCUUUUGGGAAGCCUUUUUAUUUUUGGAAAUGUUGUGUAAUUUUCCUAAACUAGGCUCACUCUAAUCUUUAUAAAACAUGUUUGUAACUAAAUGUUAAGUAUGGCCAUACGACUUUUUAAAAAGUUUUUUUUUCUAUGGGUUUUUGAGACAUUUUGUUAAAUGAAAACAUUUAUA